CCACUGAGAGUUUUGAAGGGCCGCAGUAUUACUGACUGUGCAAAGGUAGCAUAAUCAUUAGGUUUUUAAUUAGAAUCUUGUAUGAAUGGUUGGACGAAAGAGAUACUGUCUUUAUAAUUAAUUUGAAUUUAACUUAGUGAAAAGGCUUAAAUAAACUAAGGGGACGAUAAGACCCUAUAAAGCUUUCACAUUGGAAUUAAAUGGAGUUAAAUUUGUUUUAUAAGAAUUAAAUUUGGUUGUUUGUUAUGUUGGGGAGACAAUAGUAAAAUUUAUAGUAACUGCUAUUUAUAUAGGCAAUUUUUAGUGAUUUUUUAUAGGUCCAUAAUAA
rnacentral:rRNA from 1 species